GACGAACGCUGGCGGCGUGCUUAACACAUGCAAGUCGAGCGGUAAGGCCCUUUUGGGGGUACACGAGCGGCGAACGGGUGAGUAACACGUGGGUGACCUGCCCCUUACUCUGGGAUAAGCCUGGGAAACUGGGUCUAAUACCGGAUAGGACUUCAUGCUGCAUGGUGUGGGGUUGAAAGUUUUUUCGGUGGGGGAUGGGCCCGCGGCCUAUCAGCUUGUUGGUGGGGUGAUGGCCUACCAAGGCUUCGACGGGUAGCCGGCCUGAGAGGGCGUCCGGCCACACUGGGACUGAGACACGGCCCAGACUCCUACGGGAGGCAGCAGUGGGGAAUAUUGCGCAAUGGGCAAGCCUGACGCAGCGACGCCGCGUGGGGGAUGACGGCCUUCGGGUUGUAAACCUCUUUCGGCCUCGACGAAGCCUUCGGGUGACGGUAGGGGUGGAAGAAGCACCGGCCAACUACGUGCCAGCAGCCGCGGUAAUACGUAGGGUGCGAGCGUUGUCCGGAAUUAUUGGGCGUAAAGAGCUCGUAGGCGGUGUGUCACGUCGUUCGUGAAAACCUGCAGCUUAACUGUGGGCGUGCGGUCGAUACGGGCAUCACUGGAGUUCGGCAGGGGAGACUGGAAUUCCUGGUGUAGCGGUGAAAUGCGCAGAUAUCAGGAGGAACACCGGUGGCGAAAGGCGGGUCUCUGGGCCGAUACUGACGCUGAGGAGCGAAAGCGUGGGAGCAAACAGGAUUAGAUACCCUGGUAGUCCACGCCGUAACGUGGGCACUACGUGUGGGGCCAUUCCACGGGUUCCGUGCCGCAGCUAACGCAUUAAGCGCCCCGCCUGGGGAGUACGGNGCAAGGCUAA
rnacentral:rRNA from 1 species